AAAACACAAAACGUGAGAAGAAUCCUAAUAAAAAUGAUGCAGGAAAACUGAGCAAUACAUUUCGUGUCUCGUUUGUCAGAAAAUAAGGAUUCAAAACAGUGAAAAUCUUGGAUAAAACGUCGGCGAAAACCUUUUCAUUUCUGCUUCGGAAAUUGGUGAGAAAUGUUAGAUUAAUUUUGAAAUUCGUAUGUCGGCCAUAAGUUGUGGUACGGUCCUAUUUCUUAGAAUAAGUUUGCCCGCGUUUUUUCAGGAAAAAUAUGUCACUACCAAAAACUGAUUAGAGAUGAGUAAACUUUGGUGAGGAAGAAGACAAGGGAAGAGGAAGAACGGUUAUCUUUAUUUAUGUCAGAGAUUUCUUGGGCGAAUAAUGAUAUGAAAUAUUUCUCGCGAUAUCAAUCGAGUUUACCAACACCCUAAAUUAAUGGAUUAACAGAUCCGGCUAAAGCAACAUGUAACUUUUGUCUUAGGAUGUCGGGAUAGUUUAAUGCAUCUUCGUCUGUAAUAAUAGAAGUUUAUUGAGUUAGGGUUUCUUAAUAUCAAGAAUGAUCGAGAACAAGUUGAGUUGAAAAAUAUCAGAAAAAGAAAACUUGAGCUUUUCGUUGAGACAAAGAAACUUGUUAACAUCAGCAGGUGGCCGCAUUAAAGGGUCCAGAGCGUAGAGCACACGGGAAUCUAAAAAAGUGGGUACCCGAGUUCUUCUACUUUUCAGUCUGAAAGAAAUAUCAACAUAGAGUUCUAAGAAGGUAUACUAGAACCUGCCGGAUGCGAGGAACCAUUCUAUUAGCUUUCCUUUGUUGCCCAAUAUUCUUUUCGGUUCAAAUUGAUAUUUACUUUGAUGUUAAAUGGAUGACAUUUACGUGAGUUCCCCUUUGCCAAUAUAGUUAGAAAUACUUACUCUGCCUUCACUGUUCUUCCUGUUUCAUCUUUUCUUUAUAUUUUUCAUUCACCGGGCAUCAAUCAAUUACGAACUUGUUCGAUUAUUGAUCGAACAUGAAAGCAUCGCUUAAAUAGUUUUAUGGCCUUGAGUAUCUGUCAACAACAAAGCUGCCUUCACUUCUAGAACGUGUCAGAUGUAAUACACUUGGCUGGAAAAAUGAAAUAUUUACAACACAUGUUUAAAGAAUGACAACAGAUUUUGUUGAGAAUUUUAAAGUGAUGUGUUAACGAAGACGUCAUCACCACCCUUGACGCGCUUGCAAAUUGUGUUUGUAAAACAAUGUUAUAAUUGAGUGGAUUACGUACAAGAGAACGAAGUUCGCUUCAUUCAAUGUCACUGAUAUUUUAGUAGCUAGCAGCAAAGACGGAAGAAGAAAGUACCACAGAGAACCUCUGGCAUCAGGCUGUUUGAAGCACCUCCGCAAAAAUAAGCAAAGUCACUGAGGCAUUCAAUUCAAUAUGAAUACCAAGUUCUGGCUCUCAGUUGCGUUCCUGAUGUCCUGGAUUGGUGUAUUUCAAGCUGCUCUCCAAUGCCAAACAGCGGAAUACACAAUUGGAGGAAUGUUCCUCAAGGGCCAUACCUUUAAAACUAGCAAGGUUGGAUGGCCUGCAGGUUGUUAUUUCAUGUGCGAAGCAGAAGUUACAUGUCAAAGCUACAAUUUCGUCAUUGGUUAAAACCUCUGUGAAUUGAACAAUCGAACCAAGGAGGCGAGACCUGAAGAUUUCAAGCUAGAUCAGACAAGGUUCUACAUGAAAAGAGCAAAAAACAGAGUUCCUCUUGGCUCCAUUCAAGAGCUUCCUGCUGAAUCGUGCAGUGAGAUCAAGGCCAGUGAAGGAAAUGAGAUAGUUUAAGGGGAUUACUGGAUAUAUUCUGAUGGGAAUGCUCAGACAAUCCUGGCUCGCUGUGAAGGAAACUGGCAGAAAAUAAACAAAGAGUCCGUUUGCUUUGGGGCGCGAGAUAACCAGUUCGGCGCCUUUAACAUCACAAAGAGUGGACUUCUCAAGACAGUGAAGCUCGUCCACAAGUCGGGCUCGAUCAUAUGUAACCGAAAUUUCCCUCCAUCCUACUGGGGCUGCAGUACAAGCCCCUACUAUAGCAAAAACAGCUUAAUGACUAUCAUUACCAGUGCAAAGAAAGAAGCCAUCCUGCCACCAGCUGGAGACUUAAAAGCUGGCGUUGAAAACAAAAACCACUUUUACAGUCUUAAUGGAACUACCCACACAUCUCCAGAGCUGAUUUUCCGCGAUCUUCCCAUUCAGGUGUCUGUGUCACGCAAUCAGGAGCUGCAGAUAUGGUACGGACAGGAUUGGACCGAUUGGAGUGAAGA